rnacentral:rRNA from 1 species
CCCUUAGAUGUUCUGGGCCGCACGCGUGCUACACUGAGUGGAUCAGCGGGUCAGGUUGCGCGAAAGUGUUUCCUAAUCUUGAAAUCCCUCGUGAUGGGGAUUGACGGUUGCAAUUUUCCGUCAUGAACGAGGAAUACCUUGUAAGCGCGGGUCAUCAUCCCGCGCUGAAUACGUCCCUGCCCUUUGUACACACCGCCCGUCGCUCCUACCGAUUGAGUGGUCCGGUGAGGCUUUGGGAUCUGAGCAAAGAGAGCGCUUCGCUCGUUUUGCCCGGAAAACUCAGUCGAACCUUAUCAUUUAGAGGAAGGAGAAGUCGUAACA